ACUCCUGCGGGAGGCAGCAGUGGGGAAUUUUGGACAAUGGGGGCAACCCUGAUCCAGCAAUGCCGCGUGAGUGAAGAAGGCCUUCGGGUUGUAAAGCUCUUUUGUCAGGGAAGAAACGGUGGUGGCGAAUAACUACUACUAAUGACGGUACCUGAAGAAUAAGCACCGGCUAACUACGUGCCAGCAGCCGCGGUAAUACGUAGGGUGCAAGCGUUAAUCGGAAUUACUGGGCGUAAAGCGUGCGCAGGCGGUUGUGUAAGUCAGAUGUGAAAUCCCCGGGCUCAACCUGGGAAUUGCAUUUGAGACUGCACGGCUAGAGUGUGUCAGAGGGGGGUAGAAUUCCACGUGUAGCAGUGAAAUGCGUAGAUAUGUGGAGGAAUACCGAUGGCGAAGGCAGCCCCCUGGGAUAACACUGACGCUCAUGCACGAAAGCGUGGGGAGCAAACAGGAUUAGAUACCCGUGUAGUCCCAU
rnacentral:rRNA from 1 species